AGGCGGGUUACACGUUCCACUGUGUCGAGAUGUGAAAUGUAGGUAGGUGGUGAUGAGCGCGCGAGCAAAGCCCUUGUACAGGCGUUGCAUUAAUGCAACUAAACUCUAGCUAGAGCAUAGCAGGUUUUCUAUCAGAAGGGUCAUCCCAAGGCUCAGCUACAACACCAAAUCCGUCUUCCAUUGAGCUUAAAAACGCUGAAAAUCCGUUUGAUGGAGUUCCACUAGCACCAUUUCCUAAACCAAGAAAAUCAAGAGUCGGAGGUUUGCUUCCGAACAUCAUAGAUGUCUGAUGAGAUAUGGAUGGACCCAUCAUCAAGUCAGUAAAUCCUGAAUGACCAUGAAGUUGUAUCCCGAGCCCGGGUACCUCUGCAUUAAUAUUGCUCUCUAGCUUCACAUGGCCAAGAGCAUUAGUCCUCCUUGCUAGUGAAUUCUCCUCCGGUGUAGAAGUACUCGGUGACAUUGCCAAUCCAAGGCCACGGAGAAACGAGUUGUUUGAAGUUGUUGACCCCAUUUGGGCUGCUUUUUGAAGUAAUGCAGUUGCAGAUAAUGCUGGCUGCAUUGUUGCUGAACCAUAAUGCUGGCCAUGGCCGUGGCCGUGGCCACCAGUGUGUUCUUGGAAUAAACUUGCCCUAUUAUUAGACAAGUAAAGAGAAGAUGACAAUGAGAGCGAUAUGGGCUCUACAGCCAUCACUUGCUCGGUCUCAAUAGCACGUAGAAUAUCCGAGUAAGACGAGUUAACAUGCUGAGCUGAUGACGACGAUGGAAACACACUAGCAAACACCUUGCUACUACUAGGACCACUAGCAGCAGCAGUGGAAAUUGUGAUGACAGGGGUGGUAGAAACAGGUGUUGUUGUACCCUGUGCUUGUUGUAUUUGUACUCCACCUUGAUUUUGAUAUUCUACAGGCAACUCUGAACUUUGAAUGGACAGAACUGGAGAAAGAACGCUAGUUGAUGGAGUUAAAGGUUGUGGUGGAGGACUAGAUGAAGACGACACCGUUUUGUUUAUAGCUUCAUCAACCUUCAAAUCACCUUCAGCAUUUGUAUCCUCCAUUAAUGGUUGAUGAGAUCUUGCACUUUCUUGAGCUAAUGCAUCACAAAAUGCUCUAUGAGUUAUGAAGCUAUCCCUCCUGGAA
rnacentral:misc_RNA from 1 species